UACAUGGUAGUGUGUGUAAUGUUUUUUUUAAUUGAUUUCAUGUAUUAAUAAUGCAUAAUUUAAGUAAAAAAAAAGCUUUCUGCACUUCUUCUCUAUAUUCUCUAUAAGUGUGGGAAAUUCCAUACUCCUCCGUCCGCGCAAUUUUCGUAAAAAGCCCACAGUCGUCCACUGCUGGACAUAGGUCUCUCCCAAGUUUCGCCACAAUAACCAGUUCUACGCAACCCGCGUUCAGCGCAUUCCCGCGACCUUUAGGUCCACAUCGUGGGAGGUCUACCUACGCUACGCUUUCCGGUACGUGUUCGCCAUUCGAGAACUUUCGGCCCCAGCGGCCAUCUGUUCUACGAAAAAGGAUUCAUGGAUCUCCAAAAAUAUAGUAGUUAAUUAACAAAGACCACAAACAGCCGUGUUUCCCGAGCGCUAUGAAAUAUCCUUCUUCAAACGAGGCUUGUGGAGAGUACUUAACGGUAGGCAGCGACUUGGCUCUGCUCCUGGCAUUGCUGAAGUCAAUGGGCGACGGUAACCACUUACCAUCAGGUGGGCCGUGUGCUCGUCUGCCUACAAAGGCAAUAAAAAAAACAGCUCAGAAUAUUACACAUAGGCUGAUAGAUAUCGGCUUACUGAAUCAUAGAUGUGAGUUACCGAACGUGACAAAAUCCUUUUGCUCCAGAUCGAUCAUAUGAUACGGUUAACCUACACCGUGGAAGCCUUUUGAUUUAAGUUGAAGGCUAUUUAUUACAAAUGUCACGUCAAUGUCAAUAUAACUUAUAUAGUGCCGAAAGAACCAGUUAAUUUUGGUUAGCAAACAUCCUAUGUUGGUUAUGUUUUGUAAUGACUAAUACAGAGUAGGUAUACAUUGAUUGGCAGUACAAUUAUUGACACCGAAGUAAAUUAUUAGCGCUGUAAAUUGGGUAUAAUGAUUGACAGUAAAUCACUCGGUAAUAUACCAGCCACCCUGACGAUUUUAAAAGCCGAUGACAGGUUUAUUUUAAUUACCGAAUAAUAUAUCAAAUAAAAUUGAACAUUUUGUU